rnacentral:lncRNA from 1 species
UGAAAAUUAAGGCAUUAAAAUGUUAUACUGGUCCAAAUUAUUUUAUGAAUAUGCUGUCGCAGACCUUCCUUGGAACAAAAAGGUGGGAAUCGCUGCUCCACGACAUACUUGCAGUGUUCAGUUGACGGAGUUUAUAUUGGGUUUUGGCGCCCUCUUCUGUUCAGAGUCGGAACUUGAACCGUCGUCUCUCCCGGCAGCCACCGCGGCUCUUCCACUAACAACAUGGACGAAGAUGGAGGAACAGCAACACGUAUUCAACGACCUGCGAGAAGUCGAGUCUUUUAUAGAACAAAACGAAGCCGCCACCAUGACUAAGUUUGUGGUGUACGGGACACAUGCUUCGUUUUUUGAUAAUAUGUGGCAACCGACGUCCAACACCCGUGUGUUCUGGGAGUGGAGUAGGGGAGAGGGCACCCCGACCAUCGCCUUCACCGGCACCCCGUUCAUGUUCAUCGGGACGAAGGAGAUGGGAUGUCAUCUGGGGAGAGACAUCUCCGAGAGCAAGAAGCGGAAGGAUAAACCCGACUUGUUGAAUGAUAACGCCGGUACCAGGAAACGAAGAAAGCGUAAGAGUGUGCAAGAUUGCAAAAAAAUCGGCUGUCCUGCAAUUCUGACCGUCACCAGAAUCGCAGCUUUCCCCCAGUUCAAGAUUGUGGACAAUAAGGACCGGACAAAGCGGGCGGCUUCAGCCCGGCUGAAACAGGCCCUGCAGAGAGACCCCGUGAUCUGGGAGAACGUUUACAUCAUCAAGACUCCGUCGCCAAGCGCCCACACGGGCCACGCCGUCAACGGGGAGCUCAUAUGGUCCAGGAAGACGUUUGUGAGGAAGGAAUGUUCUGAUCUCCUGAAACACCUCACGGAGAAGGUGCAUCUGGUGGAGGAGCAGAGGGGGCUGGAGCACAUCAAGAAGAAGCUGCUGGAUCUCAUGGACGACGUUCAGCCCAUGAUUCCACUCGAAGCUCGGAUUCCUCUGAGUGACGUUUGUGAGGGAGAGAAACGACUCAAAGGCUCGUCCUCCAAAGCAAAGACUGUGGGCGGCCUGAACACGAACUCAGUCAACUGUGGAAGCACUGAGGUCCACCUGCAGGACCGAGGAGGGACACAUUCCUGCCUCCCAACAUGGUUGGUUCAUGUUCUGAUUAUGUUUGAUGGAGGUGAAUCUAGUUGA